GGGGGUUGGAAUGGGCGCAGCCUGAUCCAGCAAUGCCGCGUGUGUGAAGAAGGCCUUCGGGUUGUAAAGCACUUUUAUCAGGAGCGAAAUACUAUCGGUUAAUAACCGGUGGGGCUGACGGUACCUGAGGAAUAAGCACCGGCUAACUUCGUGCCAGCAGCCGCGGUAAU
rnacentral:rRNA from 1 species